CCAAACUCUCCCACUCUCUCUUCUAGAAGCUGCAGGGGCCUUGGGGACAACAAAUGAGAAAUGUCUAAAAAUGUGUCGCUGCUUUAUAUUUUAAUCCCUUUUAUUGAAAUGUUUCCUUUUUCAUAGGUUUUUUUCGGACUGCCAUCUUUCUCUCUCUCCCUCUCCUGGAGCUGCAGCUCCAUCCCCGAGGCUUUGCUGAGAGCCCGAAAAUAGAAACCUGUUCUCAUUGGUCCAGGCCCCCCCUCCAUCCUUUUGUGAUGCCGAUGAUUGAGCUCAGAAGCCACGAGGACCCUCAGAAGGACACCUGUUCUGGAAAGGGUGGCAGCUUCGAGAGAAAUGACUGAUUUGUAGCAGACUAGAGAACUGGUGCUUGCUGGCCCAGCAGAGGUACGCUGCCGUGCGGUGAGGGGCCACGUGGCAGAGACCCGAGGGUGGCCUCAGGGAGCCGAGAGCCGCCCCAGCUGGCGGCCAGCAGGAACUGGUGCCCCCGACCGCAGGAGGUGAGCUCCACCAGACAGAACGGCAGCUCUGCCUUUGCAGGAAAACAGCUCCACGGCAGACGGCUCUUCCUAGGC